AUUGAACGCUGGCUGCAGGCCUAACACAUGCAAGUCGAGCUGAGCGGCGGACGGGUGAGUAAUUCCUAGUAAUCUUCCUGUUAGUGGGGGAUAACGUCCGGAAACGGGCGCUAAUACCGCAUCCUAUCAGAUGAGCCUAGGUCGGAUUCGCCAGUUGGUGGGGUAAAGGCCUACCAAGGCGCCGAUCCGUAACUGGUCUGAGAGGAUGAUCAGUCCCCAGGGAACUGAGACACGGUCCAGACUCCUACGGGAGGCAGCAGUGGGGAAUAUUGGACAAUGGGCGAAAGCCUGAUCCAGCCAUGCCGCGUGUGGGAAGAAGGUCUUCGGAUUGUAAAGCACUUUAAGUUGGGAGGCGUUACCAACAGAAUAAGCACCGGCUAACUUCGUGCCAGCAGCCGCGGUAAUAC
rnacentral:rRNA from 1 species